UGAACGGUAGCUCAAUGGUGGAGCAUUCGGCUGUUAACCGAAGGGUUGCGGGUUCGAGUCCCGCCCGUUCAG
rnacentral:tRNA from 1 species